rnacentral:rRNA from 1 species
CGCUCUUUGUAUGUUUCAUAAAUAAGGAGUCGUGCCUGCCCGGUGAAUAUUUUAACGGCCGCAGUACCCUGACUGUGCAAAGGUAGCAUAAUCAUUUGCCUUUUAAUUGGAGGCUGGAAUGAAUGGCUUGACGGAAUUUUACUGUCUCUUUUUUAUUAUAUAAAAUUUAACCUUUAGGUGAGGAGGCUUAAAUAAGGCUAAAAGACGAAAAGACCCUGUCGAACUUGAAAGUGCGUUAUAAUUUAUUUUUGUAGAAUAAAUGUUUUGAGAUUUAUUUUUUGUUGGGGCGACAAGAGAACAUAUAAAGCUUCUUUAGUUUUAAUAAACUUUUAAGUUAUAAGGAUCCACAAAUAUAUAGUGAAUAUAGGUUAGUUACCGCAGGGAUAACAGCGUUAUUUUUCUGGAGAGUUCAAAUUGAAGGAGAAGAUUGCGACCUCGAUGUUGGAUUAGAAUACCUGGCAGGUGCAGAAGCUUGCCAAUAGGGGUCUGUUCGACCCUUAAAUUUCUACA